UGGGGGAUAUUGCACAAUGGAGGAAACUCUGAUGCAGCAACGCCGCGUGAAGGAUGAAGGUCUUCGGAUUGUAAAGCUUUUGUACUUGGGGACGAUAAUGACGGUACCCAAGCAGCAAGCUCCGGCUAACUACGUGCCAGCAGCCGCGGUAAUACGUAGGGAGCAAGCGUUGUCCGGAUUUACUGGGUGUAAAGGGUGCGUAGGCGGCUAUGCAAGUCAGUUGUGAAAACUAUGGGCUCAACCCAUAGCCUGCAAUUGAAACUGCGUGGCUUGAGUGAAGUAGAGGUAGGUGGAAUUCCCGGUGUAGCGGUGAAAUGCGUAGAGAUCGGGAGGAACACCAGUGGCGAAGGCGACCUACUGGGCUUUAACUGACGCUG
rnacentral:rRNA from 1 species